GUCCUUUAGGCUGGAUGUUUGCUUUAUUUAUUGGGUUUGCUAUAAAUAGAGGCUCUGCUCGUCUGUAUCCCUGCUUCAUAAGAGAAGAAAUCAUCUAGAUGUUUGAAGCUCAACAAACAAACAAGAAGAAAACUGGAAAACUCUCAUCACCUCCAAAAAUGCAGAAGACAUCAAAUUCAAGUGUCAACAGAACUCCAAAUUGUACCCCAUCCUCUGAACAAACAUGAGCCUUUAUUCUAACGUAAGAUAAGUAUGGGCUUUUCUGUCUAAUGGUCUACAGAUUCUGGCUGCUGCUGCUUCUUCUUCUAAGCAAGCGUAAAGUUUACACUGUCAGCAACUGCCCCUCUUUUUAAUCAGAGGAGCUCCAGCUUGAGCUCUGCACGGGGAAGAAGGUGGAUCUCUCAGAUAGAUGGGUUCAACACCUUAAAUUUCACAAUGGACAGUCAAAUUUACAACACCCUCUUUAGUGUUAUCUAGACAAAUAAUAUAUGAAUAUUGCUUGUUGCCAGGGAAGUUUUUCUUAUAUGAUGGUUUUAUUAUAUGAUCUUUGUUUAUUUUUUCCCCUCAAUCAUUUAGUGAGGAAACAAAAAACAUACCAUGUGAUUUAUGGAACCAAUCAAAACUAACAACGCAGUUCAUUUAGUGAGCCAGUGAGUACGUGAAAUUAGAAAGAAGCAAUUCAAUAAUUUUGAAAAAAUCCACAGUCUGUUCUGGGAACAGAAAAAGAAAAAUGUGAUGAAUAAAACCCUGAUCCCACAAUCUGCUUUGUAUCAGUUGACCCCUGUGACUGCAGGAAGCCCCAUCAAAAUCAGUGGUAUUCCUCGUAGGCACAAGGUUUUGGCUGCAUGGAACAGGUUGUGGGAUUGGGGAAUCAAUUCUGAUUAGAAGUAUGCAAAAACCAGCUCUUCUGGGUUAGGGUUUGGUUUUGAAUCUGAAAUUGUUUCCUUGUGUGUUUGAACAAAUCCAAGUUGAAUUUCAAUGGAAUCUCCUUCACAUGACUGCUGAGGAAGGAUUUAUGUUUCUGGGUAGGAGCCAGAUAAAAUUUGGUCUUUUGGGCGACUACUUUGUGUUUUGUGGCUUUAAUCUGACACUUAGGUAGCAGGAACCCCAAAUUUUCCAACACCACAGAAUUUCACGUAGUCCCAAUGUUCUGUGUCUUGUCUGGUAAAGGUUCCAUUACAAUGUAUUGCCAUUUUUGUGGUUGUUGCUCAGGUCUUGUCCAAACUAAGAGGAAUCUAUAGUACAGGGGAGUAGUAUACUGUACUGUACUUUACAACAGGGCCAAAGAAUAUACCCACCCUAGGGUAGUGAGGCUAGCCAGAACUGACAAUCAAAUGUUAAAUAAUUAAAUUGACUUAGCUAUUAAUUGUAAGUGAAUGUUGUUUUAAUUACACUUUAAUAAUGCCAUGCCCUUUAUAACCCAAAUUAAUGUUUUCUGUGUCUCUGUUUUUGAAGUACAUGUCAGUUUAAUUAAACUAUGAAUGGUAGACAGAUUUUUAAGUACUUUAUAUUCUUCAUUAAAUUGUAUCUGUUCAACAAGCAUAAACAGGAAAAUAGACUCAGUUAGGAGCAAAUUCACGUUCUGCCUGAUAAAUCAUUCAUCAUCAGAUAAGAUGAUGAGGGGUGCUUGUUUUUCUGUAUGCUCCCAGUGAUAAACAAAUCCACUUUUAUACUAUAAUAUUCAUUGAAAAAAAACUAUAAGGCUGCUCAUUUUGAAUGUUAUCCACAGGCCUGAAAACUGUUGGUUGUGUUUCUGUAAAGUUAAUGUUCAGACAGCAAUAUCGUCAGGGUCCGAGGGUUGUUCACACUUAGUCCAUUUUUGUUUGUGGUGCUUAUUAGAGAAAUAUUUUUGUGACCUAAGAUAUGAUACUCUCAGGGCAAGGAAUGAGGAGUAUUUUUGUUAGCCUUGCUGUAUUGCCGAAUUGCAACUAGGAUCUAUUAAGAUGUAUUUGAUUUGACAGAAAUUUAUAUUUUUGUCAAGCAAAUGUUGAACAAUGCCUAACCCUCAGUUGGAUACAACUCAAGAGAACUAAUCAAUAAUUAUUCUUUGAAGAUUAAAAAAGGGUAGAAGUGUGAUGAGUACAUUCCUUUAGUGAUGAGGUGUGGAAAUUUGUAGCUCUUAAUUGGCUAAGACACAGAAUUUGGGAGAACAGGGCAGCGAGACUUCACUUACAAGAGAAAUGGUUAUUAUACAUUACAUUGCAUAUAAUAUAGGCAGCCAAAGCUGUGACUUUUUUUAACUGAGACAACUAUGUCCUUCCUUUGUAUGGCAGAUCAAUCAAUAGCUGGGCAUGUGAUCUUGUUCACUAUUAUGUUAGUAAUGAAACCCUCGUGUGAUGUGACAACUGUAGAAUAACAUUUGGUCACAAAGCUGGUGUUAACAAGCACAACUGGCACUCUGGUAAUUAGACUGAUUUCUGGUCUACUUUCACAGAUUGUCGAUAAAUGCAGUAAACAACAGGCUGCUUUCUUUCAGAACAAGUUAUAUUAAGUCAUCAUACACUUGGCAAUGGAGCUAUUGUACCAUACUCUUUCUUUUUGUAUCAGACUAGGGCAAAGUGAAGAGACAUUUCUUUUGUGACAAAUAAAAUCACAUUCCCUAAUAGAAACUUUGUAUUCUUUAUGCAGUGAUCACCUAAUUAACCUCAGAAUUUGUCUGUUGGAAAGGUAAUUUAUUUUUCAGUUGCACUUUAAAGGUAGACAGAUGUAAGUGUUCUUCCUAUAACCUUCAAUAGUCCCUUGUCUGAUAGAGCAACAUAUGGUACAGAGUGGGGUGUAUUUUGUGGCCUGUUUAUGCUCUCCAGAAGCACUACACCACAAGUGGAAUAAAUAUUGUUUGGAGGUAAACUGAGAUUUUUGGAAGCUCUUCACAUGUUGUCCAGAGACACAUGCUUGAUCACAUUAAAUAACUGUAUAAUUUAUGCCAUUAAACAAAAUGUCC